UGUGCUGCUCGUACUAGGAAGUUCCUCUUUAAAACGCGAAGUACGCAUGCGUCACAUCCUUUCUUCCCAAGAGUGGAAAGAUCUGGUCACAAGUCCUACGCGUUGCAGGACUGUGCUCUGUCCAGCAUAGGUCUGCCGUCCCCUGUGUGGCCUGGCUGGGGUUUGGGAAUGGUCUUCUAUGACCUGGAUUGGGUAAUCAGGGCUUUGAUUCACUUGGAGGUGCUGUGGUCUUGGUAAAGGUCCUGACCUUGAGUUGAACUAGCGCUGCCCAGGCCUUUGUGCCGCUGUGGGAGGGUCUACUCUCAAGCUGUGUUACAUGUGCCUUUUGAUCUCUAGUUCAUCAGUCAUCUUUUUGAGGUGGAAGAGCCAGAUGAUCGCUGCAGCCAAUGGAAGGGAUCAUGGCAUUUGCCACUGGAAAUGGGUGACAUGAGAACUGCAGAUGAGUUAAAAACUGGUAAUUUUAAAAUGGGUCGGAAGAAUUGCCACUGGACAAGGGUGACAUGAGAAGUGCAAAUGAAAAAUAACUGGUUGCAUAGGUUUGCACAAAAUGCGAGAUCUGUGUGCGGGAUUCUUCCAGCAUAAGGUCCCUCUGGUGCAAGGAGUCCAGGUCACGGAGAGCACAGGGAAACACCGCAUCGGGUGGAAAAACAAGCGCAGAGGCCCCUGCAUUCCCAAGACAAACUUUCUCAUUCUCAAACUCAGGAAUAUGCACUCACUGAAACAGGAGCUUGAUCCUAACUAUAACUAGUAAUGAAGUGCUAAAAGGUGAAUGGGUUAUGAUAAUGUACAUAUUGAAAUAAAUUCUUAUUGAAACAUU